UAAGUUAUAGUUUAAUAAAAACAUUGAGUUGUGGUAUCAAAGAUGGAGAUAAUCCUAACUUAU
rnacentral:tRNA from 1 species